rfam:Dipodomys ordii contig_71873, whole genome shotgun sequence.
GGGAAGGUGGCUCAGUGGUAGAGUGCUUGCCUUGAAUGCAUGCGGCCCUAGGUUCAAUUCCUCAGUACCA